GCUGGGAUAGCGUAGCUGGUAGCGCAACUGAUUCGUAAUCAGUAGGUCGUGGGUUCAAAUCCCAUUCUCAGCUCCA
rnacentral:tRNA from 1 species